rnacentral:rRNA from 1 species
AGAAUCAACGCUGGCGGCGUGCCUAACACAUGCAAGUCGAACGAGAAAGUGGAGCAAUCCAUGAGUAAAGUGGCGACCGGGUGAGUAACACGUGACUAACCUACCUUCGAGUGGGGAAUAACCUCGGGAAAACCGGGGCUAAUACCGCAUAAUGUCUUCGGACCAAAGGAGCAAUUCGCUGGAAGAGGGGGUCGCGGCCGAUUAGCUAGUUGGCGGGGUAACGGCCCACCAAGGCAAUGAUCGGUAGCCGGCCCGAGAGGGCGCACGGCCACACUGGAACUGAAACACGGUCCAGACUCCUACGGGAGGCAGCAGUGGGGAAUUUUGCGCAAUGGGGAAACCCUGACGCAGCAACGCCGCGUGGAGGAUGAAGCCCCUUGGGGUGUAAACUCCUUUCGAUCGGGACGAUUAUGACGGUACCGGAUGAAGAAGCACCGGCUAACUCUGUGCCAGCAGCCGC